rnacentral:rRNA from 1 species
GACGAACGCUGGCGGCGUGCCUAAUACAUGCAAGUCGAACGCAGUGGGGACGGGUGAGUAACACGUGGGUAACCUCCCAUCAGAGGGGAUAACACUUGGAAACAGGUGCUAAACCGAUACUGAUGGACGGGCCCGCGGUGAAUUAGCUAGUUGGUGAGGUAACGGACCACCAACGCCACGAUGCAUAGCGGACCUGAGAGGUUGAUCUGCCAAACUGGGAAUGAGACACGGCCCAGACUCCGACGGGAGGCAGCAGUAGGGAAUGUUCGGCAAUGGACGAAAGUCUGACCGAGCAACGCCGCGUGAGUGAAGAAGGUUUUCGGAUCGUAAAGCUCUGUUGUUAGAUAAGCGGUAUCUAACCAGAAAGCCACGGCUAACUACGUGCCAGCAGCCGCGGUAAUAC